UCUGAGUGGAAUGUUGUCUGGUUCAAGGUCUUGCUUUCCGAUUUGAGGAUGAUCCAUGCUUGCAUGUGUAGUUUUUUUUGUUCCUCAGAUCUACAAGAUCUCGGACCAGGCUUCAUUCCCCUCAGG
rfam:Zea mays cultivar B73 chromosome 9, whole genome shotgun sequence.